rnacentral:rRNA from 1 species
UACGGAACAACAGUUGGAAACGACUGCUAAUACCGUAUACGCCCUACGGGGGAAAGAUUUAUCGGAAUUAGAUGAGCCCGCGUAAGAUUAGCUAGUUGGUGGGGUAAUGGCCUACCAAGGCGACGAUCUUUAGCUGGUCUGAGAGGAUGAUCAGCCACGCUGGGACUGAGACACGGCCCAGACUCCUACGGGAGGCAGCAGUGGGGAAUAUUGGACAAUGGGCGCAAGCCUGAUCCAGCCAUGCCGCGUGAGUGAUGAAGGCCUUAGGGUUGUAAAGCUCUUUCACCGAUGAAGAUAAUGACGGUAGUCGGAGAAGAAGCCCCGGCUAACUUCGUGCCAGCAGCCGCGGUAAUACGAAGGGGGCUAGCGUUGUUCGGAUUUACUGGGCGUAAAGCGCACGUAGGCGGUUUGUUAAGUCAGGG